GUCUAUAUGGGGAAGCUAACAGCACCACUGUCAAUAAGAUCCUGUAUGGUAUGACGUAGAGAAGCACAAUAAUCAGUACGGUGGCCUGCCAUCUGGUGAAAUGCACAGAACUCGUGAGCACGAAAACGUGGAGGCAAGGUACUCGGGAGUGGCCUGGGGGCCAAUGGUACUAAAACACCAGUAGAUCUGAGUCGCUCAAAAGCUCUAUCCAAAGGCAUCCCCAAAUCAGAAUAAGUCCUCUGACGUCGCCGAUGGGGACGAGACUGCUCAUGACGUGGGAUACUAGUCUGUGGACGCUGAAACUGAAAUGAAGGUCGCACCGUGACAGCAUGAGG
rnacentral:lncRNA from 1 species